ensembl:lncRNA ARPP21-AS1 ARPP21 antisense RNA 1
CUCUCCUCACAGAACCAUUGAUGUGGAAGCAUUCAUCAUAUAGAGUAUAGCUGUGUUGAAAACGGAUUCCAAUUAUGCCUGAACAAAAUAUCCAAGAUAACUGCCACAUCAUGAAAACAUUCUCAACACUGGGAGGGGUUUUAUGGGGAUGCUUUAAUUAUGUGAGGCCUAUGCAAUCAAGAAAAAAUAGUGAUAAGGACAUAAGAAACUCCAAAACUAUGAUCACCAGAAAAAAAUGAGUACCAAGAAAUGAGAUAUUGUCUACCUAUCACUUUGGAUUUUUGUGAAACUCUCAAUUACUCAAUUCAUUGUUCAGAAAAGUUAAAAUGCAUUCAUCUCAUCCAAGUGCCUAUAAAAUCCUACACAUCAAGUUUUCCCAAGUAUUUAGCCUGAGACACAAUACAUAGAAAACUUCAAUAAAUACUUGAAAAAUAAGAAUGAAUAAAUGAGUGAUGGUAAUGAUAUCUGAUGCAAAGACAAGCCUUGUUAGCCGUCACCCAAGAACUCAGCUGGCUACUUAACUUGGCUUCCAUGGAAGUUCC